GGGAGCAUAACUUAGUGGUAGAGUGUGUGCCUUACAAGCACGAAGUCGGGAGUUCGAUCCUCUCUGCUCCCA
rnacentral:tRNA from 6 species